UAAUGAUGUUUAUGGAUUCGACGGUGUC
rnacentral:piRNA from 1 species